rnacentral:misc_RNA from 1 species
GAUGAAGAACGUAGCGAAAUGCGAUAAGUAAUGUGAAUUGCAGAAUUCAGUGAAUCAUCGAAUCUUUGAACGCACAUUGCGCCCGCCAGUAUUCUGGCGGGCAUGCCUGUCUGAGCGUCAUUUCAACCCUCAUGCCCCUAGGGCGUGGUGUUGGGGAUCGGCCAAAGCCCGCGAAGGACGGCCGGCCCCUAAAUCUAGUGGCGGACCCGUCGUGGCCUCCUCUGCGAAGUAGUGAUAUUCCGCAUCGGAGAGCGAUGAGCCCCUGCCGUUAAACCCCCAACUUUCCAAGGUUGACCUCAGAUCAGGUAGGAAUACCCGCUGAACUUAAGCAUAUCAAUAAGCGGAGGA